rnacentral:lncRNA from 1 species
GGGACUUAGACUCAUGAAAGAAGAAGAAAAAGGAUGAAAAGAAGAGUCAAGUGAACCGUUCAGCGCCAUUGCUUCUCGCUUGAGCGGCACUGCUGAGCUUCCUGUGCGAUUAGAUGGCCACUGCUGAGUGGCGCAUUGGACCGCUGAGCGGUUUUGCGAUUAGAGGCAAACCGCUCAGUGGCCAAAUUAGGUGCUGAGUGUCCAUUAGAUGGGCUUGGGCUUAAUUUCUAUUACUUUUAUGCACUAUAAAUAGCCCUAGUGCGAUUCACAAUGUAAACCUUUGGCAGGC